AGCGAACGCUGGCGGCAGGCCUAACACAUGCAAGUCGAACGAACCCUUCGGGGUUAGUGGCGGACGGGUGAGUAACACGUGAGAACGUGCCUUUAGGUUCGGAAUAACUCAGGGAAACUUGUGCUAAUACCGAAUGUGCCCUUCGGGGGAAAGAUUUACCGCCUUUAGAGCGGCCCGCGUCUGAUUAGCUAGUUGGUGAGGUAAUGGCUCACCAAGGCUACGAUCAGUAGCUGGUCUGAGAGGAUGACCAGCCACAUUGGGACUGAGACACGGCCCAAACUCCUACGGGAGGCAGCAGUGGGGAAUCAUGCGCAAUGGGCGAAAGCCUGACGCAGCCAUGCCGCGUGGAUGAUGAAGGUCUUAGGAUUGUAAAAUCCUUUCACCGGUGAAGAUAAUGACUGUAGCCGGAGAAGAAGCCCCGGCUAACUUCGUGCCAGCCGCCGCAGUAACAC
rnacentral:rRNA from 1 species